UUAGUUUUUGGGUUGGUCCUGUGUUCGUGUUUUCCCAAUUGUGUGUAUUUAUGCUUUCAUUUUGCUCCAAAACUUUAAGCGACCAUGCUCAUGUGUGUGUUUGUGAGCGUAUAUGCGCCACUCUUAUCAUUCGAAUGUGUAUCUUGUAUCGUUGCGGUAAAUUUUGUAUGUAACAACAGCGCGCGGGAACCCCACCCAGCUUUUUCAGCUCUCAAACGCAUCAGUAUACGCUCAUACACACGCACACAACGAGCGGUGAAAGCAUUUACGAAGCAACUCCAACUCACUGAGAAGCUUGCGCCCAUCCCAAACCGUUGCGACGCUAUUUAAGACAGCACCGCAAAGCACAUACGCUCAUUUCAGAUGCUACGGCAGCGUCUAGCGCACCACUAGCGCGGACUUCAAAGCAGAUUUGGCCAUAAAGCUAUGCUACCGACACUGUUAUUUGUUGAUAUAUGUACCUAACUCUACAAUCUCACCGCCCAUUUUUAUGAAGUGUCCAACUGUACAAAUUAAAAUGCGCGGAACAGGUCUGACAAGGAAGAAUUCUAGCGAAAAUAUGCAAAUCAAUAGACGCCUGAAGCAGCACACAUACACACACAUACAAGUGUGCCUCACCGACACUAUUGACAUACGAUUGACCGAAAAAAGAUUUAUUGAACUCGUUGCCACCACAAUACUUUGGCCACGACAAUCGAUAAUAUCAACGGCACGCCAAACAAACACACACGCACACACAUACAGCACAGACACUGGGCCUAUGUGGCAAAUUGUUUGCAAACGAUGACUAUUAAUCCAGGGAAAUGCACUUCCGCAAUCAAUGGCUGGUGUUGAAGCGUGUAGAAAACAUGGCUACGCACGCACACACACACACAUACAUGCCCACCAAUACACACACAGACACGAGCGAAGCAACGCAAUCGAAAAGCAAUAUUUCUAAGGCUCGUUAGCGAAAGCUCGUUGUUGUUGUUGUGUGUGUCUAACAACAACAGUAAAUUUACGCGUGUUAGAGCCGCGAAUGCAGUUAACAACAAACAGGCAACACCAGUAAUAACAACAACAACGAAGGCAACAAUACAACAGUAUGUCAGUUAGACAGUCAGCGUUCGCGGCCAUUAGUUGCAGCAUAAGUCAAAAUGUUGUUGCCACACCAUGUCUUACAGGCAACACACCAGCAUAGAUACCUAUUGAGCUGUAUAGAUAUCUGUCGUUUGCAUUUAUAUACCUCUAAGUGUGUGGGAAACAGAAGGAUUACGGCUAAAGAGCGACAGCUCGACAUUUGUCGCAGCCUGGCAGGCAGCAAGGCAGGCAGCAAAGAGUGAAUGUCGUCUGCAAUUGAACAUGACAUGUAGCAUGACUUCCAGUCAACCAAGACAAGCAGACAGUCGUUUGCGCCGUUAGGCGUGCCAACAACGCCUAACCACCACAUAGGCAUUAGAAGCGGUGAGUGUGAGCAUUUGGAGAGCAGAGCCGAGCAGCUUUCAAGCCAGUCAAUACCAUAUUUUCUUUUAAUUUUCCUCCUCUGUAACACUAUUCAGGUGAACAAGACAAAUUAUAUUGCAGAUAGAUGAUCAACUGAUUGUUUGAUACAUUGCACAGCAGAACGGUGUUGCCAGAUGGGACAUUUUUCGGAAUUUAAUCAGCCUGUCAGCAGAAAACAUAUGCAGCAAAAGUUGAUAUUUUGCAUAAAGUGGGCUCUGGCUCUACUCAUCCCAUAUAAACCUUAUUUUUAAGUUUUCAUAUGUUUUUUUUAGGGUAAAACGCUACUAUUACAAAUCUAAAUACCCAAAUAAGCCAAACUUUAUGAUACAAAAGAUAAAUAAACAAUUAAAAAACCAAAAAAUGGUAUUUUAUUUUAUUUUUUUAACGAAUGUAAGUA